rnacentral:lncRNA from 1 species
AUUACAAAUGAUUAUGUUAGAAAUUUAAAUGGCAAUUAUACAAGGUCUGACCAAUAAAUNGUAUAUUUAAAUAUUAAGAUACAUCGAUGUGAUCCCCUUCAAAGUACUCCCCUCCCACCCCUAUACACUGGUUCCAACGUUUUUUCCAGCUCUCAUAACAUUUCUGGAAGGCUUCGACUGGAAUGUCCUGAAGUACCCUUGUCAGGAUGUUCUGGAUGUCAGUUAUGGACUCAAAAUGCGUUCCUUUCAGGCCAAUAUUGUUUGAGGGAACAAAAAGAAGUCGCAGGGUAACAUAUCCUGCGAAUAGGGCGCUUGUGGAAACACUGCGAUGUUCUUAGAGGUCAAAAAUCUUAUAUAAACUAUUGAUAGAACAUAAAUGGAAACAUUAGACUUUUUAUAAUAUAUCUGUGGUACCCUACCAUACAAUUAUAUUGGACAACAAAGUUAAACGAAAAUGAAUAUAAAUUUUUAUUUUCAAGAAUAAAAUGUUAAAUUUUGUAAUUUAUAAUGCAGAAAGCAGAUUGAUAAAUUUAAAUGCUGAAUAAAAUGCUUUAAAAACCAAAAAAUGAUAGAUAAUUGCUUCAAAACAUAUAUUAAUUGAAAUUUGUAAUUUGUAACAAGAUAAAAAAAUAUAAACUACUGAGAUUGAAAAUAAAAUCAAAGAUCAGAAGCUCUAUAAGCAGGCGAAAUUUUGGAAUUCAAGACAUCCAUAAGCUUUGAAUAAAACAUUUAUUACUUUGCAGUCUGAAUUUGAUUUUUUUUAAAAUAAAACACAACCUAAAGUUUAUUUAAAAUGUAUUCGUGUUCAAUUGACAGAACUUAAUUUGAUAAACUAUUAAAAACUAUAUUAACAAGUGGUGAUUUUGAUUAAAUUUUCUUAUAACUUUUUAAAUCCAUCAUAAAGGUACAUUUAAAUAAAAGACAUGAUGAAUACAACUUAUCUUAAAAACAGGUAUAAUCAAAAGUUAAAUAGAUAGAAAUAAAUUUUGUAAAUUUUACUGUGAGGCUCAUUCCAUCGGGGUAAAUUUUGAUACCAACAUAUCAGGUUUUUUUUCUAUGCCUGUAUGUAUAGUUCCUAACAUUUUUAAUAGAUUCUUCAGAAUGCAAACAUAGGAAAAAAUUUAACCAGGUAUUAUUGUAUUUGAAGGUAAAAUUUAUGCACAUUGUACAAAUAUUAAAAAAUUAUAUAUUUUCCAAUUAUCAGAUACAAUCAAAAAAUAUACCUAUUAAGGGAUAAUAUUCUGUAAAAAAUUUUUUUUAAUUACAAAAUUAGUUACAUUCAUCUGACUUUUCUUCAAUAUAUGUCAAAAAGCCACAUCUAUUAGUUUUGGUUAGUUCUUUAGAAUCCAAAGGUAGGAUGUCAUAAAGUCUUUUUAGUAUGCCUCUAAACCCCGUAUCAACUGUGUUACUAUCUCUUAAAAGUCCAAAAGUUAGAUGCAUACACAAUUUGACUAGUUAUAGUUGUUUUCGCUAGUGACAUUUAUGCAUCUUGUUUAUAUAUUAAAAAACCAAAAAAUUUAAAUUUUACACAAGUUACAUUCAUGAGGUUUUUUUUCUGUAUAUGUCUAAAGUCUAUUCUUUACGGUUUAGGAUUGUUCUUUUUAAUACUAAAGGAAAAAGUUUUUAAUUUACUCGGGUGUUAUUGCAUUUGAGAGACAAAAAAAAACUUGAUAUUAUAAAUAAUUAACAAAACACAAAUUCGUCCUACCGAUAUUUUUUCAAUGUAGGAGGACGAUACUUUUAGUUGUUUUUAUCGAUCAGAAAGGAAAACAGGUCGUAGCACCAAUGUUUUAGCUCUGAUUUAUCGAUCAUUACCAGCAACAUAGCGAUGACAUUCCUUAACGAUAUUUCUAAAAUAUUGUAUACCAUUUUAAAAGAUAUCUGGUGUUCGAUAAACAAUUUUUAUUGAAUCUUAUACAACAUCAUAUUUAAAUGGCUUCUUUCUGCUAUGAAUCUUUGAUUAUUUAUACUUUUAUUAUGUUUUCAUAUAAGUAUUGUUACAUGAAUUACGUUCAUAAGGAUUUUUUAGUAUGCCCUUAAACCCUUUAUCAAACGGGUUUAUUUUUACUUCAAAAUCUAAAAGUUAGAUGCAUACACAAUUUGACUAUUUAAAGUCGUUUUCGCUAGUGAAACUAUGGUUAUUGGAUAUAUAUUAAAAAACCAAAAAAUUUAAAUUUUACACAAGUUACAUUCAUGAGGUUUUUUUUCUGUAUAUGUCUAAAGUCUAUUCUUUACGGUUUAGACUUGUACUUUUUAAUACAAAAGUAAAAAGUUUUCAAUUUCCUCGGGUGUUAUUGCACUUGAGAGACAAAAAAAAACUUGAUAUUAUGAAUAAUUAAAAAAAAACAAAUUCAUCCUACCAAUAUGUUUUCAAUGUAGGAGUAUGAUAUAUUUAGUUGUUUUUAUCGAUCAGAAAGGAAAACAGGUCGUAGCACCAAUGUUUUAGCUCUGAUUUAUCGAUCAUUACCAGCAACAUAGCGAUGACAUUCCUUAACGAUAUUUCUAAAAUAUUGUAUACCAUUUUAAAAGAUAUCUGGUGUUCGAUAAACAAUUUUUAUUGAAUCUUAUACAACAUCAUAUUUAAAUGGCUUUUUUCUGCUAUGAAUCUUUGAUUAUUUAUACUUUUAUUAUGUUUUCAUAUAAGAAUUGUUACAUGAAUUACGUUCAUAAGGGUUUUAGUAUGCCCUUUAACCCCUUAUCAAACGGGUUAUUAUUACAUCAAAAUCUAAAAGUUAGAUGCAUACACAAUUUGACUAUUUAAAGUCGUUUUCGCUAGUGAAACUAUGGUUAUUGGAUAUAUAUUAAAAAACCAAAAAAUUUAAAUUUUACACAAGUUACAUUCAUGAGGUUUUUUUUCUGUAUAUGUCUAAAGUCUAUUCUUUACGGUUUAGGUUUGUUCUUUUUAAUACAAAAGUAAAAAGUUUUCAAUUUCCUCGGGUGUUAUUGCACUUGAGAGACAAAAAAAAACUUGAUAUUAUGAAUAAUUAAAAAAAAACAAAUUCAUCCUACCAAUAUCUUUUCAAUGUAGGAGUAUGAUAUAUUUAGUUGUUUUUAUCGAUCAGAAAGGAAAACAGGUCGUAGCACCAAUGUUUUAGCUCUGAUUUAUCGAUCAUUACCAGCAACAUAGCGAUGACAUUCCUUAACGAUAUUUCUCAAAUAUUGUAUACCAUUUCUAAUGACAUCUGGUGUUUGAUAAAUAACUUUUAUUGAGUCUUAUACAACAUCACAUUUAAAUGGCUUCUCUCUGUUAUGAAUCUUUCAUUAUUUAUACUUUUAUUAUGUUUUCAUAUAAGUAUUGUUACAUGAAUUACGUUCAUAAGGAUUUUUUAGUAUGCCCUUAAACCCUUUAUCAAACGGGUUUAUUUUUACUUCAAAAUCUAAAAGUUAGAUGCAUACACAAUUUGACUAUUUAAAGUCGUUUUCGCUAGUGAAACUAUGGUUAUUGGAUAUAUAUUAAAAAACCAAAAAAUUUAAAUUUUACACAAGUUACAUUCAUGAGGUUUUUUUUCUGUAUAUGUCUAAAGUCUAUUCUUUACGGUUUAGGUUUGUUCUUUUUAAUACAAAAGUAAAAAGUUUUCAAUUUACUCGGGUGUUAUUGCAUUUGAGAGACAAAAAAAAACUUGAUAUUAUAAAUAAUUAACAAAAAACAAAUUCGUCCCACCGAUAUUUUUUCAAUGUAGGAGGACGAUAUUUUUAGUUGUUUUUAUCGAUCAGAAAGGAAAACAGGUCGUAGCACCAAUGUUUUAGCUCUNAGUAAAAAGUUUUCAAUUUCCUCGGGUGUUAUUGCACUUGAGAGACAAAAAAAAACUUGAUAUUAUGAAUAAUUAAAAAAAAACAAAUUCAUCCUACCAAUAUGUUUUCAAUGUAGGAGUAUGAUUUAUUUAGUUGUUUUUAUCGAUCAGAAAGGAAAACAGGUCGUAGCACCAAUGUUUUAGCUCUGAUUUAUCGAUCAUUACCAGCAACAUAGCGAUGACAUUCCUUAACGAUAUUUCUAAAAUAUUGUAUACCAUUUUAAAAGAUAUCUGGUGUUCGAUAAACAAUUUUUAUUGANUAGGAGUAUGAUAUAUUUAGUUGUUUUUAUCGAUCAGAAAGGAAAACGGGUCGUAGUACCAAAUCGUUAGCUUUGAUUUAUCGAUCAUUACCAGCAACAUAGCGAUGACAUUCCUUAACGAUAUUUCUUAAAUAUUGUAUACCAUUUUAAAAGAUAUCUGGUGUUCGAUAAACAAUUUUUAUUGAAUCUUAUACAACAUCAUAUUUAAAUGGCUUUUUUCUGCUAUGAAUCUUUGAUUAUUUAUACUUUUAUUAUGUUUUCAUAUAAGUAUUGUUACACGAAUUACGUUCAUAAGGAAUUUUGUAGUAUGGCUUUUAACCCCUUAUCAAACGGGUUUAUUUUUACUUCAAAAUCUAAAAGUUAGUUGCAUACACAAUUUGACUAGUUAUAGUCGUUUUCGCUAGUGAAACUUAUGCAUGUUGUUUAUAUAUUAAAAAACCAAAAAAAAAAAUUUUUACACAAGUUACAUUCAUGAGGUUUUUUUUCUCUAUAAGUCUCAAGUCUAUUCCAUACGGUUUAGACUUGAUCUUUUUUAUACAAAAGUAAAAAGUUUUCAAUUUGCUCGGGUGUUAUUGUGUUUGAGAAAAAAAAUAAACUUAAUAAUAUAAAUAUUAAGCAAAAAAUAAAUUAAUCCUACCGAUCUUUUAUCAAUGUCGGAGAAUGAAUUUUUUGUUGUUUUUUUAUCACUUAGAAAGAAAAAAAGUCGUAGUUAUAAAGAGUUGGCCGUUAUAGUUCAUCUAUUUCAGAGACAAAUUGACGAAAAUUUUUAAUUUUUAUAUUUCUGAUGAGUGUGAAGUAGUAUCCGUAUACUAUAGGUGUUGAAAGUUGCAAUCGUUUUGAUUUAUAAUGUCGAGGUUACAAUUAAAAUUUGUAUACGAAGAAAGAAUAUAAAAUGAAGUCGCAGGGAGACAGGUCGGGUGAAUAGGGUGGAUGGGACACAGUGGUCAUAUCGUUUUCGGUCAAAAACUGCCGUACAGAAAGGGCUGUGUGAGCAGGAGCAUUGUCGUGUUGAAAAAACCAGUCUCCUGACUGCCACAAAUCAGGUUUUUGUUCGCUUCAAACUGUUGCGUAAUCUUUUUAACACCUCUAGGUAAAUUGCCUGGUUAACUGUCUGACCAGA